GACGGAGGGUGCUAGCGUUGUUCGGAAUCACUGGGCGUAAAGGGCGCGUAGGCGGCCUUGCAAGUCGGUUGGUGAAAGCCCGGGGCUCAACCCCGGAGGUGCGGCCGAGACUGCAGGCUGGAGGCCGGAAGAGGAGGGUGGAAUACCCAGUGUAGAGGUGAAAUUCGUAGAUAUUGGGUGGAACACCGGUGGCGAAAGCGGCUCUCUGGUCCGGACCUGACGCUGAGGCGCGA
rnacentral:rRNA from 1 species